CCUACGGGGUGCAGCAGUGGGGAAUAUUGCACAAUGGGCGCAAGCCUGAUGCAGCCAUGCCGCGUGUGUGAAGAAGGCCUUCGGGUUGUAAAGCACUUUCAGCGGGGAGGAAGGCGUUAAGGUUAAUAACCUUGGCGAUUGACGUUACCCGCAGAAGAAGCACCGGCUAACUCCGUGCCAGCAGCCGCGGUAAUACGGAGGGUGCAAGCGUUAAUCGGAAUUACUGGGCGUAAAGCGCACGCAGGCGGUCUGUCAAGUCGGAUGUGAAAUCCCCGGGCUCAACCUGGGAACUGCAUUCGAAACUGGCAGGCUAGAGUCUUGUAGAGGGGGGUAGAAUUCCAGGUGUAGCGGUGAAAUGCGUAGAGAUCUGGAGGAAUACCGGUGGCGAAGGCGGCCCCCUGGACAAAGACUGACGCUCAGGUGCGAAAGCGUGGGAGCAAACAGGAUUAGAUACCCUUGUAGUC
rnacentral:rRNA from 1 species